rnacentral:snRNA from 1 species
GGAUGUGAGGGCGAUCUGGUUGCGACAUCUGUCACCCCAUUGAUCGCCAGGGUUGAUUCGGCUGAUCUGGCUGGCUAGGCGGGUGUCCCCUUCCUCCCUCACCGCUCCAUGUGCGUCCCUCCCGAAGCUGCGCACUCGGUCAAAGAGGACGGUCUUCCCCGAAUAGAGACGGACCGGUCUUCGGACGAGGGUAUACGAGUAGCUGCGCUCCCCUGCUAGAACCUCCAAACAAGCUCUCAAAAAGUGAGUCAUACCAGGAUAAGAACAGCUAGUGUCUUUUUACACGAAGGGUCUUUGAUACAGUCAGUAGAGUUACUCCU